AGAAGACUAUAGUAUCUUUACUAGUAAGUUGUUCAAAGCAGCUGGCUGGUUGCUUACAGACAUUUCAGGGGGAGGGUUCCUGUUGUUAGCCGACUGAAGUUGGCCUGUGCUGUCACGAGGAUGAUCGCACUGCUUCGACAAUCCUUCAGGAGUACUAAGUACUAUGGUAUGUCUGUGCUCUCACAGUCUGUCUUCACCAUGGUAUGGAGUGGGUGAGAAGCAUGUUUUGAGCCCUUAUAAUAAACCUUCCCACAAAGCAGCCACGGAUGUAAGAAGCAGAAGGACGAGAUAAGUCUGGUGGAUUCAGAGCUUCCAGCCUGGGGAGGUGCUCAAGGGAAGUGCCCCAGCUCUUUGGCCUCCUUCUGUAUUUUGCACAAGGCAGUCUCUGGGUAAAAUUCAGAGUGACCCUUGCGAAUUGUGUUUAUGCCUCUUCAUGAAGCUGGCCUGUAAUACAAUAGAGAUCUGUUUAUUCAGAUGGACAGUAGACCAGAAAGAUAAACACAUCUAUAGAUAAAAGUAGAGGGAAAAGCUAACUUACAGUGAUACUACGUUUUUUUUUGUUUGUUUGUUUGUUUG